rnacentral:rRNA from 1 species
GCCCCCAACAGCUAGCCCACCCAAAAAAUUCAACAAACAACAUCAAUUAACCCAACAACCACUUCAACCCAAAAACAAACCAUUUUUCCACCCGAGUAUGGGAGACAGAAAGGGACCCC